rnacentral:rRNA from 1 species
CCAGACUCCUACGGGAGGCAGCAGUGGGGAAUAUUGGACAAUGGGGGAAACCCUGAUCCAGCGACGCCGCGUGAGUGAAGAAGUAUUUCGGUAUGUAAAGCUCUAUCAGCAGGGAAGAAAAUGACGGUACCUGACUAAGAAGCCCCGGCUAACUACGUGCCAGCAGCCGCGGUAAUACGUAGGGGGCAAGCGUUAUCCGGAUUUACUGGGUGUAAAGGGAGCGCAGACGGCGAAGCAAGUCUGAAGUGAAAUGCAUGGGCUCAACCCAUGAAUUGCUUUGGAAACUGUUUGGCUUGAGUGUCGGAGGGGUAAGCGGAAUUCCUAGUGUAGCGGUGAAAUGCGUAGAUAUUAGGAGGAACACCGGAGGCGAAGGCGGCUUACUGGACGACAACUGACGUUGAGGCUCGAAGGCGUGGGGAGCAAACAGGAUUAGAUACCCUGGUAGUCCACGCAGUAAACGAUGAAUACUUGGUGUCGGGGAGGUAAACUCUUCGGUGCCGCAAGCAAACGCAUUAAGUAUUCCACCUGGGGAGUACGUUCGCAAGAAUGAAACUCAAAGGAAUUGACGGGGGCCCGCACAAG